GGGGAUGUAGCUCAGCAGUACAGCACCUGCCUGGCAAGCAUGAGGCCCUGAGCUCUAUUCCCCGUACCCCCC
rnacentral:tRNA from 1 species